GCCUUAGUCUCAUUUGUUGCACUGGUACAACUCAUCCGCAUCCAAUUGCGCCUUUCAGGAAUUGGUUGGACAACACAAAAGGUUUUUCACUUGAUGAAUUUUGUUGUCUGUGGAUUGAGAGCAAUAUUAUUUGGGUUCUACAGCAGCGUGUUCAAUCUUAGAUCAAAAGCACUUGAGAUGAUGCUUCUGGAUCUCCCCGGUCUUCUAUUCUUCUCCACAUACACACUAUUAGUUCUGUUUUGGGCUGAAAUAUUCCAUCAGGCAAGAAACCUUCCAAUCGAUAAACUUCGACCUGCACAUUAU
rnacentral:misc_RNA from 1 species